CAGCCGCCGCGGUAAUACGGAGGGGGCUAGCGUUGUUCGGAAUUACUGGGCGUAAAGCGCACGUAGGCGGCGAUUUAAGUCAGAGGUGAAAGCCCGGGGCUCAACCCCGGAACUGCCUUUGAAACUAGGUGACUAGAAUCUUGGAGAGGUCAGUGGAAUUCCGAGUGUAGAGGUGAAAUUCGUAGAUAUUCGGAAGAACACCAGUGGCGAAGGCGACUGACUGGACAAGUAUUGACGCUGAGGUGCGAAAGCGUGGGGAGCAAACAGGAUUAGAUACCCCUGUAGUCCCUGUCUCUUAUAC
rnacentral:rRNA from 1 species